GCCAGUGUGGUGUAGUGGUUUGAGUGUUGGACUACAACUCUGGAGACCAGGGUUCAAUUCCCAACUUGACC